UCAAUCUCUUAAUAAUACUGCUAUAUAGCUUUUUGUAUCUCUUGCAGCGCACACAUUCUGGGCCAGAACAAUUAGCUCUGUCUCUGGAAGAGAACCAAACAUAGUAAUGACUGAAAUAAUUCUAUGAUAAUGGGAAAACAAUGGAAAAUAUUUCUCAAAAAUGACAAAAUUGCUUGCCAUGCGAGGAUAAAAGCAGCUGAAUAGUUACAGGUUAGCUAACACAAUGCAUCAUGUUUGUGCCUGUUGAUAGCGAUUCAACAAUUUUCACAAUUCGCAGAUGAGAAGUGGAAAAUGUAAAAGAAAUGACCUUCCCGGAAGUGAAACAAAUCAGGAAAAAGAACUCGCUAUCAGAAUGUCCUUUUGGGCACGGAAGAACAGACUGUAGCUUGCCCUCUGCCGUCCGGAACACUGCCUUCCUAUCGAGGCAGUGUGGAAAUUCACUGGCCAGGCGAAAGAACCCAGCAGAUGUAAAGUCCAGGAGUGGUAUCCCAGUUUCCCACAAGAGAACGGAUUUUCCGACCGCAGGGCUGAGAAGCCAGCCACAAAGCAGCUUGCUGAAACCCGACAUAAAACAAAAUUUGACUGAAAAAAAAAAGUACAAAAAAAUGAAAAAAAAAAGAGCGAUGGAUUUUCUAAUCCGGCCUUUAUCGAGGUUCCUGGUUUCAGCAGCGCAACCUUUUUUAUGUGCGAGAAGCGCUCCCUGUAAUUACCUCGCCACCACCACCGGACCGGCUUGUAAUAAAAGAGCUCUA